rnacentral:rRNA from 1 species
UUUAUGGAGAGUUUGAUCCUGGCUCAGGAUGAACGCUGGCGGCGUGCCUAAUACAUGCAAGUCGAGCGAACAGAUAAGGAGCUUGCUCCUUUGACGUUAGCGGCGGACGGGUGAGUAACACGUGGGUAACCUACCU